GCCCGUAUAGCUCAGUGGUAGAGCGUAUCACUUGUAUUUCUAGAAAUAGAAGUCAUCUUAUGAGAUGCUAAGGUCCAUGGUUCAAUCCCAUGUGCGGGCA
rfam:Ophiostoma piceae TAMH 11346 chromosome Tnknown scf18, whole genome shotgun sequence.